GGCUGGCUUAGUGGUCUAGACGUCGGGUUUAGUUCCCGUUGUCGCAGCUUCAAUUCCUGU
rnacentral:tRNA from 1 species